UAAAAUUUAAAAUAAAAAUACUAAAAUAGUAUAUAAAUAAGUAUUUAUUGAAACUUAAAUAAUUUGGCGGUAUUUUAGUUCAUUUAGAGGAAUCUGUUUAAUAAUUGAUAUUCCACGAAUAAAUUUACUUAAUUUAUAAUUUUGUAUAUCGUUGUUAUAAAAAUAUUUUUUAAUGAUAUUAAUAUUUAAAAUUUAAUAAUAUAAAUUUAAAUCAGAUCAAGAUGCAGAUUAUAAUUAAGAAUAUAAUGGAUUACAAUAAAUUUAUUUAAAUGGAUUUUAUUUUGUAAAAAUUAAUUGAAAGUGGAUUUAAAUGUAAUUUUAUUUAAUUUAAUAAAAUGAUUAAAAAUUAAAAUAUGU
rnacentral:rRNA from 1 species